rnacentral:rRNA from 1 species
UACGAAGGGGGCUAGCGUUGUUCGGAAUUACUGGGCGUAAAGCGCGCGCAGGCGGCUAUCCAAGUCAGUGGUGAAAGCCCGGAGCUCAACUCCGGAACUGCCAUUGAAACUGUUUAGCUUGAGGAUGAGAGAGGUGAGUGGAAUUCCCAGUGUAGAGGUGAAAUUCGUAGGUAUUGGGAAGAACACCGGUGGCGAAGGCGGCUCACUGGCUCAUUACUGACGCUCAGGCGCGAUAGCGUGGGGAUCAAACAGG